AGAGUUCGAUCCUGGCUCAGGAUGAACGCUGGCGGCGCGCCUAACACAUGCAAGUCGAACGGUUAAAGCCCCUUCGGGGGUGCAUAGAGUGGCGAACGGCUGAGUAACACGUGGGCAACCUGCCCCCCGCACCGGGACAGCCUCGGGAAACCGUGGUUAAUACCGGAUACUCCGCCGCCCCCGCAUGGGGGCGGCGGGAAAGCCCAGGCGGAGGGGGAUGGGCCCGCGGCCUGUUAGCUCGUUGGCGGGGUAACGGCCCACCAAGGCGAUGAUGGGUAGCCGGGUUGAGAGACCGACCGGCCAGAUUGGGACUGAGACACGGCCCAGACUCCUACGGGAGGCAGCAGUGGGGAAUCUUGCACAAUGGGCGAAAGCCUGAUGCAGCGACGCCGCGUGCGGGACGAAGGCCUUCGGGUCGUAAACCGCUUUCAGCAGGGACGAGGCCGCGAGGUGACGGUACCUGCAGAAGAAGCCCCGGCUAACUACGUGCCAGCAGCCGCGGUAAUACGUAGGGGGCGAGCGUUAUCCGGAUUCAUUGGGCGUAAAGCGCGCGCAGGCGGCCUGCUCGGUCGGGAGUCAAAUCCGGGGGCUCAACCCCCGCCCGCUCCCGAUACCGGCGGGCUUGAGUCUGGUAGGGGAAGGCGGAAUUCCCAGUGUAGCGGUGGAAUGCGCAGAUAUUGGGAAGAACACCGGUGGCGAAGGCGGCCUUCUGGGCCACGACUGACGCUGAGGCGCGAAAGCUAGGGGAGCGAACAGGAUUAGAUACCCUGGUAGUCCUAGCCGUAAACGAUGGACACUAGGUGUGGGGGGGAGGAUCCCUCCGUGCCGCAGCCAACGCAUUAAGUGUCCCGCCUGGGGAGUACGGCCGCAAGGCUAAAACUCAAAGGAAUUGACGGGGGCCC
rnacentral:rRNA from 1 species